AUGGAGAAUCAGAUUCGCUCUCCUGACCUGGGACCUCUCUCUGACCCCCUUCUGGUCUGCCAGGGCCUGGGUCUCCCAGCAGGGACGCAGCUCAAUGGCUCCCUGCGAGCCACAGGUGGAGAAGCAGCGGUGUCCGGGGCCCUCGCAUCGCCCGGCCAGACCGCGUCCCUGACCUUGGUGGCGGCCGUGCACCCAUCGGAGGCCACACUCCGAGUGAGGCUGAGUCACACGCUGCCCACGCUGCGGGCCAUCCCCCCAGAGGCCUUGCUGAGCGUCCAGCUUGGGUGGGCGGCCGGGCACCGGCUGGGUCUGGAGCUGCAGGCGGAGGCCUGUGAGCUGCAGGGCGGUGGCGAGCUGCGCCUAGACCACGGGCUGCACUGGUGGGUGCUGGCUGAGAGCUCCUGCGAGGCCCUGCAGGCCCUGGGGGUCCCGGGCCGAGUCAACAGCUCCGGGGCCGUCGCCGUGAACUCCAUGGCUGUGGACGCCCGGGUGCUAGUCGCCGUGAACCACAGCUCGCUGCGAGGACUGCUCACCCUCAAGGCUACUGAGACCCAGCGGGAGGUGGCUAUGUUGCUGGUACACAGCUUCCCCCAGCCCAGCCCCUUGGGCCUCCCAGCCCGUGUCCUUCUGGAUCUGGCCACCGAGAGCCACGGGCCGGGCUACAGACGCACCCUGCGGGUCCAAGUCGACGACAAACAGGUCUCGGAGGAGUUGACGUUCACUCGGCAGCCAGAGCACGUCUCCCUGUCCUACACGCUCUGGCACAACGUCCCCGUGCUGCGGACUCUGUGGCGGGCGGACAAGCUGGGCCUGCAGGUCAGCCUCGGCGAGCGCCGGUGAUCAUGGAAACUCGUGCGUGCGUUUGUGCUUUCGUGCAUUCACUCAACAAACGUUCUCGGAAGUCAGGUGGAUACAAAGGGGAGGUGGAACAAGGUUCCAGACUUCCCUCUGAGCCUCAGUCUCCUCAUCUCGAUAGUAGGGAGAGGGCUCCUCUCCCUAGCCUAGCCACGUGCCCCUGGGUUCACAGCCUCCCUGUGGACCGAGUGCGUGUGCUUGACCCCACUUUUUAGCCUUAUCCACCUGCUCUCAGCCUGGGCAUUCUGCGCCAGUGUCUCUCUCUGCUGCACGGAAGCUCCCCCCUUUCUUCUUCUUUAGGCCCCACACGCACAGGUCUGUAUACUUGUGUCUCUCCCCUUGGAGGCGGAUGGGCUCCUGGCUGGCCCAGCCUGGCCGCAGACGCGGAUGGUGUGUCCUCCCAGAUGUGCCCGGAGCCCGACCCCUUGUUCCCCACCUCCAGCUGUGUCCUCUGCUCCAGGCCAUCUCGGGUCACACCCAGGUUCCAGCCACCUAGCUGGGCUCCCGCCUUCACUGCUGCCCCCUCGGGUCUCCACCCAGAGUCGAGCCCCUCCACGUCCAGCCUGGCCCCAGAAACCUCGUGCAGGCAUCUGGUGCUGUGCCCUCUCUGAGCUCACCUGCCGGGGGCUCCCCGCUUGCUGACUUCCCUCGGGCUCGCUGGCCCCUGUACUCAGGCUCGCCAGAUGUUUCUUCCCUUCGAUGCCCACCGCCCGCUCCUGGCCUCCCCAGGUCUUUGCACACAUGUCCCCUCUCUGGCCUUCCCUGAAGAUCCCUGCCCUGGCCCGUGUCUCCCCCACCCGAACCCUCUGUAAAGAAGAUGGCUUUGCUUCUCGUCUGCCACUCAGAGCACACAUGGGUCCAGACGGCUGGGGACUCCCCCACCCAUGACCCAUUUGCUAGUGCCCCCUUCCCUGCCCGCGGAUGUGUUCAGCCCUGAGCCCUACUUGAGGGAUUUUCACGGGCAUUCAUCCGGUGAGUGUGCUGGAUCCUCACUCGCCCCGCAGCCUCUCCUCCGCUCCCUGAGGACAGGGACCGGGGGCUGAAGUUUCCAGCUUCUCACCAGGGCUUGGUCUUUCUGGGGAACCCACCGAGAGUCCCCUCAGUAGAACAGAAAGCACUGGUCUCACCCACGAAAUUCCAAGGGAUUGAGGAGCUCCAGUAAGACGCUCCCCUCUCCCACUCACUGGGGAGCUUUCAAGGGCGGGAGCUCUGGGUCAGGGACGGGGAUCACAGACCAGAUGUGGGCAGGACCCGGGGACAAAGGCAUAGAUAGCUAUGCCUGUGUAUUUCUUACUAUCUCACAUGCUCCCCGAUUGCUUUCUCUUUUCCAUCCUCUUUCCGUCUGGCCCGCGAUGGCUUCUACCUUGUCCUGGUCUGUCUCCCACAGCUGGCCUCCAGGCUGCACGGCCCCAGCAAUCCCGUGUGUGGUGCACGACGCAUCUCUAGGUGCAGGACAGGGCCCGGCACUUAGUAGGCGCUCAGCCAGCAUCACCGAAGAGCAGGACGGCACUUCCUGCUUUGUAGAGCCACUGACGCCACGCAGCGAGGGGCUUUAUGCCCCUGCUGGUCGCUGCUGCUCCAAUGGGGGGCAGAGGCCACAAACUCAAAGUCUUUGGGGGCCAGGUAGAGAGCUGAAAAUGGGUCAGGGGGCUGCUUGGGGACAUAGAGAGCUCGUGCCUGUUGAAAA
ensembl:lincRNA